AUCCAUGUAAAUUAAAAAAUUAAAUACCGGGUCUUGUAAAUCGGAAAAGGAAUAAUUUCCCCAGACC
rnacentral:tRNA from 1 species